UACCACAAGUCCUGAUGAAAAGUAUUGGCCCAAAUCCAGAGCAACGCAGAAAAUGCUGGAGGAGCUCAGCAGGUCAAACAACAUCUAUGGAAAAGAAUACAUAGUCGAUGGUUCAGGCCAAGACCCUUCUUCAGAACUGAGAAGGAAGGGGGAAGAUGGCAGAAUAAAAAGGAGUUGCCAUUGGCUCCCAGCAUGUAUUCCAUGGACACAGACAAUCUGCAGCAUCCAGUGAACCUUCUGACCCCUACAUUUUUUGGACAUUGGAGGAAAGCAGAGAGCCCAGAUGGUCACAGGGAAUGGUAAAACUUCAUGCAAACAGCAGCCGAGAUCAGGAUUUAACCCGGGUCACUGGAGUUGUGCUACAUAUCAUCUUCCCCUAAGGCUGCGGAUUCCUUUGAAGCAAACUGUCGAAAUUACAUCUGAUUUCUUCUAACGUGUGUAAGAAUAACAACACGGUAGGACCUUCUUAACUGUUGCGCAUGUUCUGGCUACAGCCUUGCCUUUGGAAAUACAUACUGGAAAAUAAGGUUCACAGCACUUCCCGACAUUCCAUGCAAACAAACUCCUUGUUGGAAGUAAAAACUCACCAAAUGGGGUGGAUAUAGAUCCUUGGGGUUUAAUAUUGAAGACACAACAUAGAAAUGGACACACAUUUUAUUCUGCUUUGAAAAUGCUGUUUAUUGAGUGCUGAGUGCAAGAGUCAGGAAAUAUGGCUGCCAACCUGCACACAGCAAGAUUCCGCAAGAAGUAACAGACCAGCGCAUCUGGUUUAAUGUUAAUUAAAUACUGAUAAGACAACAAGAAAGCUCAUCUGCAAUUCAUCAAGUGAUAGCCACAUUAUCUACCUGCCAGUUUUCUGCAUUCCAGUAUAAAAUUCAGCAUAGCUGAUAACACAAACAUUUACUGCACAUCAAUAAUUUCCCUAAAGGAGAUGGAAGUGAGAAUUUUCUUAACCACUGCAGUCUCGGAGGUAAAGUCACCCUGGGGAGUUCCAGGAAUUCAGACCCCAACAACAAUAAAGGAACAGCGGUGCAGAGUUCAGAGCUCAAUCUCAACACCAUCUGUAAGGACUUUGUAUGUUACACCCUGUGACCAUGUGGGUUCCCUCUGGGUGCUCUGGUUUCCUCCCACAGCCCAAAGACCUACCAUUCAGUAGGUUGAUUAGUCAUUGUAAAUUGCCCUGUGAUUAGGCUAGGGUUAAAUCGGUGGGUUGCUCGGCAGUAUGGCUCAGCGGGCCAGAAUGGCCUGUUCCAUGCUCCAUCUCUAAAUAAAUAAUAUAUAACAGGGAUUGACAGGAUUGAUGUCAAACAGAUGUUUCCUCUUGUGGGGAAUUCAGAGUUUCAGAAUAACUGGUUUCUCCAUUUAAAAUGGAGAUGAUAAGGAAUUCCUUCUCUGCAGGCAUGAAUCAGAAGUUCUCUGUUCCACAGAAUCAUGGAGACAGGGAGUUGUUGACUAUUAGUGACAAAUAGACUACAGGGGAGUCAAGAAGAUGGGGGAGCUGAAGUUAAAAUCAGAUUAACCAUGACCAUAUUGGAUAGCAGGCCAAUUCAAAGACUGUGAGCUUUACCCCUACUUUCUUAAGAAAACAAAAUCCUUUAAUUUAAUCUGAUGACCUCAGAUAUCAAAGGAAGGAGCAGAUAAGUCUACGGCUUCCAUCAAGGAAAUGGAAGGAGGAGUAGGACGGGAAUACACUGCAACCUGCCACUUAUCGCGGGACUGACAGGAUUUUAUUCUGUUAAAUAAAUGAAACUUCAAAAUGAACAAGGCAAUAGGUGCAGUGAUUGAAACAAUUUUUGCCCAAGGAGUUGCUCAAAUGAACCUAAAUAUGCCCUUGCUCUGUCCUCGAGGGACUGCAGUUUCAGAGUAGCAUGUGUGAAUAGAUCAAGGCAUUUGUACUGUAAUGGUAAAAAACAUUGCCUUUGGCUUUCAUUCGCAUCAAUAUUUCAUAACAAAGUGUGGUCGAAUCCAUCAACUGUGCUGAAGGCAAAGAUUUGGGUCAAUACUAAGUUGAAACUAUUGAGGAUCACACUAGGAUUCUGGUUUCAAAAAUGCUUCCAAUUUCUUGGCAAUUGUUCUUAUUAAGUGGGAAGUCUCAGCUGGGGUCGUCUAUCUGGAAAGGUGUGGGCAGAGGAGAAAUCUGUCAGUGUUCCUAAUCAUCUGGUAUUCCCAGUCCAAAGUGGGCAGUCAUCAGCUAAAGGCAGGCUUGCUGCUGACCAGAAAACAGCGUAGAAAGUGUUUGCUAAUGAGGAAGUUGUGUGGCACGAACUGGCACAGCUUUUCAGGAGAAACAAAUUCAGCAGAUGAAAGAGUAACACACAAAAUGCUGGAGGAUUUCAGUAGGUCAGGCAGCCUCUAUGGAAAGGAAUAAAGAGCUGAUGUUUCGGGCCAAGACCCUUCAUCAGGACAGAUGAUGAGGCAGAUGAAAGAGAAAGGUCAUACAGAUGGGGCACGAUAUUGAAGGUGGGGGAGGAGGCCAAUGCUAAUCACCUAUUACUAAUAUGUUUCACCCAAUGAAUCCCAUUUCUCAUAUGCCCUACAUCUCUCCCAUUUUGGUUCCCAUUAUCACUUUCAUUACUUACCAAACUCCAGCACUGGUAACUUUUGUGUCCCCAUUUAACACCCUCCAGGAUCUGUCUUCACCUUCAUCUUCUCUUCCCGCGAUCUGUCUCCAGCUACCUUUUAUCUCCUUUGUUUGUUUCCACCUAUCAUCCACUUGCUGUCUCCCAGAUCCAUGUCUCCCUCACCGAAAUGCACCUGACCAUCAUCCUUCACCUAUCCUCAUUCCCCAUAUUACCUUCUGACCUCUGUCUCACUCCUUUACCCUCUUCCCAGUGUAAUUGCUAUCUCCCCUCUCCAUUUGCAGUCCAGAUACAAAGUUUUGACCCAAAACAGUGACAUUUCUUUUCCCCUCCACAGAUGCUGCUUGACCUGCUGUGUUUCUCCAGCAGAUUGUUUGUUACUAAUGUUAAACAUGCAGACUUGUUUGGAUGAGUAGAUUCUUCGUAUGUUUUAUGAUCUAUGGAUUCUUCCCGCGUGUAUGAACGUUGAGUGUUUCUACCCUGACAAGAGUUAAUAAAGGAACUGGUGCCUUCAGAAUAUGUUAAGUGGAUGAUAUGUGAUGGGGCAUUAGUGCUAUACUGUACUGCUCUAUGUUCUGUAAAAAAUUGGAAAGCUAUGUGUUUAGGAUGGGUUAGAACCUGUACUGUGCUGUACUUUUCAAUGUUCUAUAUAAUUCAAGGACAUCUACCUGUAAAGUGUUGUGGUGCGUGAACCCAAAGUGUCAUACAGUGCUGAGGCAGAUGGUACAGUGGUUGUUACUUCCAACCUCUGCUGUUACCAUCGUGGAGUUUGCAUGCUCUCCCUGUAAAUAUCCGGGUUUCCCAUGUAUGCUCUCGUUUCCUCUUGCAUCCCAUGACAGCUACUAUAAAUUGUUCCUGACGGCAGUGAUUGCAAUGUGUGGUGGGACAGUGAAAUUGAUGGGUAGGUGAGAGUGAAGAAGAUACAAAUGGUGAAUGAGUUUGGUGAAUAUACUCUGAGAGCCAGGCUAGGUUUGAUGGGCUGAAUGGCCUCCUGGUCUGUCUUUGUGAAACAGGAAAAUAGAAAUAAUAGCUACAUACUCAAAAGAAUUCCCCUCAGCCAGUCAGACGGAUAUUCAGGAGAUUACUGAAGGAGUGGUACAGUGGAGAAAGUUGCAUGGGAUGAGGUGAGGCUGAGGGUCAGACUUACAAUGGGUAGUAAUGUAGGGGCUGUGGUGGAAGACAGUACAGAACAUUGGCUCAGGAAUAAAGAGAGGCAUCAGUAGGGAGGGUGACUAUCAAAAUAGUGAAUGGGGUGUGCCAGGUAAGAAUUUCAAGUAAUUAAGUGAGCUCUGUUUAAGAUAUUUAAAGGGAAUCUGAGGAAGGAACUACUUCACUCAAAAGGUGGUGUGGGUAUGGAACGAGCUGCCAGUGGAAGUGGUAACGCAAAAUCAAUUGUAAUAUUUAAAAGCAGUUUGUUGGGUACAUUGAUGAGAGGGGUAUAAUGGGCUAUGGUCCUGUAGCAGGUGGAUGGGACAUAGCGGAAUAUCUGACCAGCAUGGACUAGAUGAGCUGAAGGUCCUGUUCUGUGACUCUAACAAUAAAGCAGGGAUUGUACUCACUGCAAAGGCCCCCAGCAAUCUCCCUGGGGAAAUUAAAAUCCUGGUAUGGUAUUGAGACGUUCAUUGUACAUCUUUGGAAGCGUGUCUAGCUCCUAUAUGUGCUUGAAUAUCUAAUGCAUGGAAUACCCUUCAAAGACUUUAUUGAACACACAGUCAUUUCAUUCUCUUGAAUAUUCUCCAAUCAGUCCACAUAAAUUUGCUUAUAAACAAAAGAUUGCUAAUAAACAUUGCAAUGGAUAGUGCCCACGUAGAAUCAAUGACAUCGUUGCUGAAUAGUUUUCCCUUAAUGUGUGAUUACAUUCAAUUUUGUUUAAUUUGAGGAUAACACCGGCUUAUUAUGUACCAAACUAUAGUAAAUAAAUUUGUUUUGCAUACCAUCUAUAUGGAUCAUUUCAUUACAAUGGUACAUCAGAGUAGAACAAGAGAAAGCAACAACAGAAUGAAGAAUAGUGUUACAGUUACAAAGGACAGACAGACGAUAAGGUACAAGGCCAUAACGAGGUUAUUGUCAAGUUAAGAGGUCAUUUAAUCAAACUAGAGAAUCAUUCUAUAAUCUUAUAACAGUGGGAUAGAAGCUGUCCUUGAGCCUGGUGGUACUUUGAUUCAGGCUUUUGUAUCUUCUGCUCGAUAGGAGGGUAAAGAAUAGAGUACGGCUGGGUUUGGCUUUGGCUUUGUUCCUUGAUGAUGCUGGCUACUUUACUGAGUUGGUGAGAAGUGUAAACAGAGUCCAUCGAGUGGAGGCUAGUUUCCAUCAUGAGCUGAGCUGCAUGCACAACUAUCUGCAGCAGUGAGAAGUGCAGACACAGUCCAUGGACGGGAGCAAACACGAGGAAAUCUGCAGAUGCUGGAAAUUCAAACAACACACACAAAAUGCUGGUGGAACACAGCAGGCCAGGCAGCAUCUGUAGGGAGAAGCGCUGUCGACGUUUUGGGCCGAGACCCUUCGUCAUGGAGGGGAGGCUGGUUUCCAUGAUCUGUUGAGCUGCGUGCACAACUCUCUGCAUUUGCUCGCAGUCCCAGGCAAAGCAGUUGCUGUGAUGCACCCCAUGCAUCAAUAAAAAAAUUGAUAAGCUUCAAAGGGGACAUCGCAAAUUUCUUUAGCCUGAUGAAGUAGAGGUGCUGGUCUGCUUUCUUGGUCCUGGUGACUACAUGAUUGGAUGAGGGCAGGCUAUUGGUGAUGCUGCACUCAUCUAAAGCAUGAUUUGCACUUCAACACUAGAUCAAAUUGACGAGAAAGAAAUUCGCCCUACUCUCCAGAGGAACUGCUCCCUCCCUGAUUCCCUUGUCCAUUCAUUCCUCCCCACUAAUCCCCCUUCUGGCACAUAUCCCUGCAAGUGUCAGAAAUGCUGCG